rnacentral:piRNA from 1 species
UGCAGAAUCAGGUGAACACUAACCAC